AGUGAACGCUGGCGGUAGGCCUAACACAUGCAAGUCGAACGGCAGCACAGUAAGAGCUUGCUCUUACGGGUGGCGAGUGGCGGACGGGUGAGGAAUACAUCGGAAUCUACUUUUUCGUGGGGGAUAACGUAGGGAAACUUACGCUAAUACCGCAUACGACCUACGGGUGAAAGCAGGGGAUCUUCGGACCUUGCGCGAUCGAAUGAGCCGAUGUCGGAUUAGCUAGUUGGCGGGGUAAAGGCCCACCAAGGCGACGAUCCGUAGCUGGUCUGAGAGGAUGAUCAGCCACACUGGCACUGAGACACGGUCCAGACUCCUACGGGAGGCAGCAGUGGGGAAUAUUGGACAAUGGGCGCAAGCCUGAUCCAGCCAUACCGCGUGGGUGAAGAAGGCCUUCGGGUUGUAAAGCCCUUUUGUUGGGAAAGAAAAGCAGCAGGUUAAUACCCCGCUGUUCUGACGGUACCCAAAGAAUAAGCACCGGCUAACUUCGUG
rnacentral:rRNA from 1 species